UAAAAAUGAUGCAGGAUCGACUAUGUCGAAUAAAAUUCUAGGUAGAAUUAUGAUAAUGACAUUGUCUGCCUAUGUGUCUUGACCAAAUUACGUGCCAGCAGUCGCGGUAAUACGUAGAAGACUAGUGUUAUUCAUGUUUAAUCGGUUUAAAGGGUACCUAGACGGUAAAUCAAGCCUAAAAUUAAAUGAAGGGACUAAUUUACUAGAGUUACUUAUGAGGGGGUAUUAAAGUACUGCUGGUGUAGAGAUGAAAUUCUGUCAUACCUCUUUUCAAUAGAAAAACAAUGGCACAGGUAUAGGCGAAAGCAUCCCCUUAUGUGAUAACUGACGUUGAGGGACGAAGGCUUUGUGUAGCGAACAGGAUUAGAUACCCCAGUAGUCAAAGCAGAAAAUGAUGAAUGUCAUAGAUUAGAUAAAUAAGUUUAUUCUAUAAAUGAAAGUGUAAGCAUUCCACCUCAAGAGUAAUUUGGCAACAUUGGAACUGAAAUCAUUAGACCGUUUCUGAAACCAGUAGUGAAGUAUGUUGUUUAAUUUGAUGAUCCGCAAAAAACCUUACCACAAUUUGAAUAUUUAUAUUUUUUUAUUGUUUUCUUUUUAAUUUUCUUCUGAUUUGAUUUUUCUAAAGAAAAAAAGAAAAAGAGGCGAUAUGAUAUAUUUACAAGCGUUGCACGGCUGUCUUCAGUUAAUGUCGCGAGACUUUGGUUAGUUCCAUUAAAUUAACGUAAACCCUUACUUUAUUUUUAUAUAGAGUAGUUCCCCGCUAUAUUGGAUAUGAUAAC
rnacentral:rRNA from 1 species